rnacentral:lncRNA from 1 species
GCAGAAAAAAAAUCAUGCAUAUUUAGGCUAACAAUACACUAACAACAAAUCUCAUGGGUAGGCUCAUCAAAUAAAUGUAUUGAUCCUAAAGACAAUAAAGUAUUUGAUCAACGAAUCAAUGUUUGGAAAACACCAAAGUAAGAACUAAUGGUAUUAAGCAGGUAAUCUGAUAUCUAUCGCUUACAUUGACAACCUAACAAAUAGUUAGACAAUAAGAGAAGUUUGAUAUGAAAAAAGUGAUUUGGUAAAUUAAUUUAUGACAUAAAGUCUUCAUUUGAUAACACAAUUCAAAAUAAUAGUCCUUUUAAUGCUGUUCUGUAUAUUUUUCUUCAUCAAUUUAAAUUUAGGAAUCAACCAACGUUCCUGGUUUUAUUCAAACCCCUGAGAUCAAUCAAAAGGUUUUACCUGCAGUGUUUUGAGAUUCUUGUUUUUUAUCACAUGGCAGCAAAAAUGUGAUAAAUCAUCAAUGCCAAAAAUUUCCCUGGAUAUUCCCUGGAUAUUCAAAAUAGCUACAUUAAUAAACAAAGGUAUAAUAGUCAACAGUCAGACAAAUAGUUGGACACUGUCCCACACUAUGAAGGUCUUUCAUAGUAUAGGUUUUCUAUAGAUAUAAAAGUAUCACAACCUUAACCAAAAUUCAUUAUAGUCCUACCCAUAAUGCAUCACAAUAUGUCUCUUAUUUUAGUUUAGCUAUAAUUGGUGGUUGUUGGCAAGUACAAUACAGGCGGCAGCCCUCUUACAUGUAAAUAAAUUUAAAAACAUGUUAUUUAUUAACUAUUAAAGAAAGAUCACUCUGUCAUCUCCCGGCUUAUUUCUGUUUUAUCAUGUCUUAUGACAAAAAUAUUGUUUUCCCAUCUAUCAUUUUUUUAAUCUAGUUAAUCCUAAUUUAUUUCAUUUUGGUAUAUCUAAAUUCAAUCUAAUAUUAAAAUCUUUUUUCUCUAGCCAAAUGUUGUUUUUAAUACUUUGCAAGUUUGUUACCCUUUUUAAUCUAUUUUGUUUCAUUUUGUUAUCU